rnacentral:rRNA from 1 species
AUCAUGGCUCAGAUUGAACGCUGGCGGCAUGCCUUACACAUGCAAGUCGAACGGCAGCACGGGAGCUUGCUCCUGGUGGCGAGUGGCGAACGGGUGAGUAAUACAUCGGAACGUACCCUGAAGUGGGGAUAACGUAGCGAAAGUUACGCUAAUACCGCAUAUUCUGUGAGCAGGAAAGAGGGGGAUCGCAAGACCUCUUGCUUUAGGAGCGGCCGAUGUCGGAUUAGCUAGUUGGUGAGGUAAAGGCUCACCAAGGCGACGAUCCGUAGCGGGUCUGAGAGGAUGAUCCGCCACACUGGGACUGAGACACGGCCCAGACUCCUACGGGAGGCAGCAGUGGGGAAUUUUGGACAAUGGGCGCAAGCCUGAUCCAGCCAUGCCGCGUGAGUGAAGAAGGCCUUCGGGUUGUAAAGCUCCUUCGGUGGGGAAGAAAUUGCACAGGAUAAUACCUUGUGUAGAUGACGGUACCCGCAUAAGAAGCACCGGCUAACUACGUG